UCCUCGGUAGCUCAAUGGUAGAGCACGCGGCUGUUAACCGCGCUGUUGUAGGUUCGAGCCCUACCCGGGGAGCCA
rnacentral:tRNA from 1 species